rnacentral:rRNA from 1 species
UACGUAGGGGGCAAGCGUUGUCCGGAUUUAUUGGGCGUAAAGAGCGUGUAGGCGGCCAUACAGGUCCGUUGUGAAAACUGGAGGCUUAACCUCCAGACGUCGAUGGAAACCGUAUGGCUAGAGUCCGGAAGAGGAGAGUGGAAUUCCUGGUGUAGCGGUGAAAUGCGCAGAUAUCAGGAAGAACACCCGUGGCGAAGGCGGCCUGCUGGGCUGUUGCUGACGCUGAGGCGCGACAGCGUGGGGAGCAAACAGG